CUCUUCUCCUUCGCUGUCUCCUUCGUCUCGUCAUCCAACGCAUGUUCUUAAUAAAUGCUUAAAGCAAAACUUGUAGAGUCUUUCCUUAUAAACUUCUUCUCUUAAUAAAUCAAUUACAAACAAAA